CACUUGGGCAAGCUGAUGUAAGCCUCUGGGGUCUCAAAGUUGAUGGGGUCCAGUGUGGCCACAUUCUCACACUUAAACACAACUUCGCCAUAGAUUUUCAUCUUGGUGUCCGCAAUCCGGGCCAGGCGAGACAGCUCCAGACGGAUGUCAUUAUUCUUAUAAACAACCUGUCAAAAGCCAAACAAAAGUGCCAUGUGAAUCAAUCUUGCAAACAGUAUCCAUCCAUCACUCACUGGGCGAGCAAUUAAAGACAAAGUAGAAACGGCUCCCCAUGGGGGAAGAUGUCACAC
rnacentral:lncRNA from 10 species